rnacentral:rRNA from 1 species
UACGUAGGGCGCAAGCGUUGUCCGGAAUUAUUGGGCGUAAAGAGCUCGUAGGCGGUCUGUUGCGUCCGCUGUGAAAACUCGGGGCUUAACCCCGAGCCUGCAGUGGAUACGGGCAGACUAGAGGUAGGUAGGGGAGAAUGGAAUUCCCGGUGUAGCGGUGAAAUGCGCAGAUAUCAGGAAGAACACCCGUGGCGAAGGCGGCUCUCUGGGACGGUACUGACGCUGAGACGCGAAAGCGUGGGGAGCGAACAGG